rnacentral:sRNA from 1 species
GCCGGGCGCGGUGGCGCGCGCCUGUAGUCCCAGCUACUCGGGAGGCUGAGGCAGGAGGAUCGCUUGAGCCCAGGAGUUCUGGGCUGUAGUGCGCUAUGCCGAUCAGGUGUCCGCACUAAGUUCGGCAUCAAUAUGGUGCCCUCCCGGGAGCAGGGGACCACCAGGUUGCCUAAGGAGGGGUGAACCGGCCCAGGUCGGAAUAUGACUAAAAUUAUAAAAGUACUACUUUUUUAAAUAAUUUGGAAACAUAUAUAAAGGUUAAUAUUUUAAAAUGUAUUAAAUGGUCAUUUUU